rnacentral:rRNA from 1 species
AUCUAUGGCCACAUCACCCUGAACGUGUCCAAUCUCAUCUGAUUUUGGAAGUUAAGCAGGGUCAGUCUUGGUUAUUACUUUGGAUGGGAGAAUGGGGGAAAAAAAAAACUUUGAAAA